GACGAACGCUGGCGGCGUGCUUAACACAUGCAAGUCGAACGGAAAGGCCUCUUUCGGGGGGUACUCGAGUGGCGAACGGGUGAGUAACACGUGAGUAACCUGCCCUUGACUUUGGGAUAACUUCAGGAAACUGGGGCUAAUACCGGAUAGGAGCUCCUGCUGCAUGGUGGGGGUUGGAAAGUUUCGGCGGUUGGGGAUGGACUCGCGGCUUAUCAGCUUGUUGGUGGGGUAGUGGCUUACCAAGGCUUUGACGGGUAGCCGGCCUGAGAGGGUGACCGGCCACAUUGGGACUGAGAUACGGCCCAGACUCCUACGGGAGGCAGCAGUGGGGAAUAUUGCACAAGGGGUGGAAGCCUGAUGCAGCAACGCCGGGGGCGGGAUGACGGCCUUCGGGUUGUAAACCGCUUUCGCUCAUGACGAAGCUUUGUGUGACGGUAGUGGGUAAAGAAGCACCGGCUAACUACGUG
rnacentral:rRNA from 1 species